AUUGAACGCUGGCGGCAGGCCUAACACAUGCAAGUCGAACGAGUGGCGGACGGGUGAGUAAUGUCUGGGACACUGCCUGAGGGAGGGGGAACAAUACUGGAAAGGAUAGAUUAUACCGUAUAACAACAGAUGCGCAGAGAUGGGAUGAGCUAGUUGGUGGGGGAACGGCUCACCAAGGCGACGAUCCCUAGCUGGUCUGAGAGGAUGACCAGCCACACUGGAACUGAGACACGGUCCAGACUCCUACGGGAGGCAGCAGUGGGGAAUAUUGCACAAUGGGCGCAAGCCUGAUGCAGCCAUGCCGCGUGUAUGAAGAAGGCCUUCGGGUUGUAAAGUACUUUCAGCGGGGAGGCGUUACCCGCAGAAGAAGCACCGGCUAACUCCGUGCCAGCAGCCGCGGUAAUUC
rnacentral:rRNA from 1 species